GACGUACGUACGGACGGGGGCGACGGCAAUAUACGUCCACAUUUCUAUGUGGGCGUAUAAAAAUGGCUAUACUGUGCCGAUGGUGCGUGAAAAUCUUCUAUUGUUUUGCACUCGUUAUACUAUACGUAUUUCUUAUCUCUGGAAUUGUCAAGCACCACCAAAGUUGUGGCCUUGACACCGGAAAGGUUACACCCAGAGCAGGGGAUUUUUUUUAUCUAACACGCGGUCUUCGUGAGAACUUUCUUUACACAUAUGUAGACACCAACACUAUAACAUCCUGUUGACGUCCUGUUGACCUUGAUACAGACAACAUUAUUAUAGUUGUAUAUAUAUAAUAAAUCAUUAUCUAUUAGGUUUCGGCCAUAGUAGAGGAGAAUUGGUCGACAAGAACAAUAUUAUUAUAGAUGGUACAAUGUUGAUGAAUAAAAUGUUGACUAUAGAUAGAGUAUUAAUCUGUCUGCUUAUAUUCAGUUAUGUAUAUUUUGUAUUGGAUAAUACUGAAUACUGUGGCGGUCGCCACGGUGGUUAUGUAGAUCCGAAUGUAAUCAGUCAGCAUCCACUCGACAUCAUUUCCGAACCAUUCAGUGUAAAUAAUAGGACAUCUGCGCAUGAUUUAAGACUGGCAUUGUUAAAUGCUAAGAUCAAUGCUAUCGUGAAUGAACAUAAACUUAAAAUGGAGAUUCUGCGACAACAAGUCAUCGAAAGAUAAUAAAACCCCAUUACGAAAUCCAACGAAAUUCUAGAGUGGCAUACCUAAAACGUAUUGAAAACAAAACACAUUUUGUCAUACUGGCAUGGUUAAUAUGUUGUUUUUAUAUAUAUAUACGACAUAAUCUUUUCGAUUUUAAAUUUCUGAUACCGUAAUGUGUAUAAUAAAGAUUUCAUUUGAAAGUA